rnacentral:lncRNA from 10 species
UGGAAGUGACCGCAGAGGCCUCUGGGGAUUGUAGUUUUGGAGCUAGAGAGGCGGGCAAGCAGUUGGCUUCGCCCACACGGUGUGCCUCUCACAUCUGCACAGCGCACACAACCAAGCUUAGGAGCCGACUGUUAAGAUGCCCCAGUGACACGGACAAGUUUCUCCUCUGCAACCCAAUGAGAGCUGCUGACCACGAGAGCAUCGCGGGACCGCCAAAGGAUUCUGGAAAAUGUGGUCCCGGGUGGCCAGUGUGCGCUGACCUUCACCUGAAGGUACGGCUUGAAGGAAACUUCUGGAGGGUGGGGUGGUGUUGAAGAGAAGGCACAAUUGUCACCAUUUUGUUCAACAUGGGCGUUUUCUUUGUGCAUUGAUUUGCAUUUUUAAAGGAACUCCUCCUCAAAACAGAAGAAGCCUAUAGGAUUUUAACCUGGAAACUACUCAGGGAAUCUGGAAUAUUCCUUCCAGGGAUAUCUGCAGCUGAAACCUGGCAGUAAUUUAAACAAAACCAGACAACUCUUGGGGUAUGGUUGGAGCCUGAGGUCUACAGAUGGGUCAUUUUAUAUGCUGAGGUCUGAACAAGAUGAUUUUAACCCCUUAAAAUGAUGGAAACAAAAUAAAACAGAAUAAAUUAGAAGACAACACAGGUGAGUAGUUUAAAGGGCCUACUUGCUGUGUUUUCUCUGGUCUUCAGGUCUCCUCACUGUGGCGGGAUCCAGGCGCAGCUC